AAUAUUGUACAAUGGGGGGAACCCUGAUCCAGCCAUGCCGCGGGUGGGAAGAAGGUCUUCGGAGUGUAAAGCACUUUAAGCUGGGAGGAAGAGUUGUAGGCUAAUACCUUGCAAUUUUGACGUUACCAACAGAACAAGCACCGGCUAACUUCGUUCCAGCAGCCGCGGUAAUACGAAGGGUGCAAGCGUUAAUCGGAAUUACUGGGCGUAAAGCGAGCGUAGGUGGUUCGUUAAGUUAGAAGUGAAAGCCCCGGGCUUAACCUGGGAAUUGCUUUCAAAACUGACGGGCUAGAGUACGGUAGAGGGUAGUGGAAUUUCCUGUGUAGCGGUGAAAUGCGUAGAUAUAGGAAGGAACAUCAGUGGCGAAGGCGACUACCUGGACUGAUACUGACACUGAGGUGCGAAAGCGUGGGGAGCAAACAGG
rnacentral:rRNA from 1 species